rnacentral:rRNA from 1 species
AUUGAACGCUGGCGGCAGGCCUAACACAUGCAAGUCGAACGAGUGGCGGACGGGUGAGUAAUGUCUGGGAAACUGACUGAUGGAGGGGGAUAACUACUGGAAACGGUAGCUAAUACCGCAUAACAUCGGAUGUGACGAGGUGGGAUGAGCUAGUAGGUGGGGUAACGGCUCCCCUAGGCGACGAUGCCUAGCUGGUCUGAGAGGAUGACCAGCCACACUGGGACUGAGACACGGCCCAGACUCCUACGGGAGGCAGCAGUAGGGAAUCUGGCACAAUGGGCGAAAGUCUGAUGGAGCCAUGCCGCGUGUAUGAAGAAGGCUUUCGGGUUGUAAAAUACUUUCAUCAGAGAAGCGUUAUCUGAACAAGAAGCCACGGCUAACUCCGUGCCAGCAGCCGCGGUAAUUC